rnacentral:rRNA from 1 species
GAUGAACGCUGGCGGCGUGCCUAAUACAUGCAAGUCGAGCGAACGGACGAGAAGCUUGCUUCUCUGAUGUUAGCGGCGGACGGGUGAGUAACACGUGGAUAACCUACCUAUAAGACUGGGAUAACUUCGGGAAACCGGAGCUAAUACCGGAUAAUAUUUUGAACCGCAUGGUUCAAAAGUGAAAGACGGUCUUGCUGUCACUUAUAGAUGAAUCCGCGCUGCAUUAGCUAGUUGGUAAGGUAACGGCUUACCAAGGCAACGAUGCAUAGCCGACCUGAGAGGGUGAUCGGCCACACUGGAACUGAGACACGGUCCAGACUCCUACGGGAGGCAGCAGUAGGGAAUCUUCCGCAAUGGGCGAAAGCCUGACGGAGCAACGCCGCGUGAGUGAUGAAGGUCUUCGGAUCGUAAAACUCUGUUAUUAGGGAAGAACAUAUGUGUAAGUAACUGUGCACAUCUUGACGGUACCUAAUCAGAAAGCCCCGGCUAACUACGUG